UUAAAAGAUCCAUUUUCUUUGUCAUCAUUUCUUUAUCAGGUUGAAUGAGAAGUGAUAGACUGGAAAGCAGAUGGCUCCUUCUCUGAGCUUAGAGGUCAAGCUUUCCAACAGGUUGACUUUAUCCAUCCUCUCACCAACUCCACUGGGAUCCACUUUACCCUAAGCUGGAGAAUGCACAUGGAAGAAGAUUCUGAAUAAACACAUUCAUGCAAGAUUCGGUUGCAGACCUUUGCUCGAUAGAAAAUGUAUGGUGAUUUCAAAGAGUAAUGUUUCAGAUGCAAUAAACAACGUUAACGGAAACACGGUUCUUGUUAAAGAAAAUGCUGUUUCAGGCUUAAGUCCCAGUGAUCAUAAAAGAUAUAUGAUGCAAUAAACAAAAUGAACCACAGGCAGACAGGUCCAUUUGAUGACUAACCACUGAUUGAAUUUUCCAACACUCCUGGACUUUCUGAGAGAUAAACUAUUCACAAAAGGUCCAUGUUAAAUAUAAGGCUGUCAUUUCUUUUUUAUGUUUCUAGUGAGGUCCAAGAACAGUAGAGGAUAUCCCCCCUUCUCCUUUCUUUUCUUUUUUUUUUCCUCCCUAUUGGUUGUUUGUGUUUUUGAAUUUUUUAUGAUGUGGGAAGACUGGCAAACAGUUGCUCUGAUUGUCAAAUGCCUUAAAUCAAGAAGAGAAAAUGCAAUAAAACACAGUUUCCAUGGUAACACAUUGUAACCUAGUACCUCUGGAUUAUGAGCCAGCUCACAUCUCUGAUCACUACUUGUUGACAGGCAUAAAUUGAGCCUAAAAGCAUUAAUUUUAGAGAUAAAACUGGAAUGUGGAGCUAUGUUAUAAUAAUGUUUAAACAUUUCCAGGGCAGUGGCAGCAAAUCAACACUGGUUAUGUCACUAUUUAAAUAAUGUUAAUAAAUUAAGCAUAAACACUUAAAACAUCUACUAGCUUUUCUAUAAAGAUGGAAUAACAAAUUUGUGUACACUCUUGAGGCUGCAAGUGGAAGCUGACAUGUUUUUGGUGGAGUUAAAAAAAUUAAAUGGAGUGAUCGAUGGAUGUUUUAAUUAGGAAUGGUUCCAAUAUGGAACUGAUUCUUUAAAACCUUGUUAAUAGAGAAGCUCCUAACUCUAUCUUAGGACAUACAUACACAAUAUUUCUGGAUGUUUCUCAGUAGACAUAAUUUCCUUUUUUUUCUUAAUAAGAAGAGACUCAAAUAAAAUGUGAAUUAUCACAUUAGAAUGUUUUUAAACAUGCCUUUUUUUAAAACACAUUUUAUUUCCAUGUUCUCAUUAGAAACAUACAUUUCCGCCACACAUCUUAAAGUUUCCAAAAAAAAAAAAAAGAUUGAUUGUCUUGUGUAUAUGGCUGCCUCCAGCUGUCUUCAGCAGUUACCCAUUAACCAAUACAAUCAACCAUCAAAAGGCAAUUUUUUCAAGGCUGUUUGUCACACUUCUAAAUAUAUCUUUAUGACAAGAUGGGAUUAAGAUGGUGGAGUAGAAGGACUGGAGCUCACCUUCUCUCAUAAAAGCAACAAAAUUACAACCAAUCA